CUAGGCUUGACAUGUUUCUGACAGCUCUAGAAAUAGAGUUUUCCAAGGUUUACCUUGGACAGAAUCACAGGUGUUGCAUGGCUGUCGUCAGCUCGUGUCGUGAGAUGUUGGGUUAAGUCCUAUAACGAGCGCAACCCUUGCUAUCAGUUGCUACUCCGUGAGGAGGCACUCUGAUGGGACUGCCUGGGAAACCAGGAGGAAGGUGGGGAUGAUGUCAAGUCCGCAUGGCCCUUAUGCCUAGGGCAACACACGUGUUACAAUGGUUGGUACAAAGGGUUGCGAACCUGCAAAGGGGAGCUAAUCUCAUAAAGCCAAUCUAAGUUCAGAUUGAGGUCUGCAACUCGACCUCAUGAAGCUGAAAUCGCUAGUAAUCGCAUAUCAGAACGAUGCGGUGAAUACGUUCUCGGACCUUGUACACACCGCCCGUCAAACCACGAAAGCUGUUUGUACCCGAAAUCACCUUAGCUAACUUGUAAAAGAGGCGGGUGCUGAAGGUAUGAAGAGUGAUUGGGGUU
rnacentral:rRNA from 1 species